AUGUCAAUCUGCAAUAAACAAAGCAUUAUAUCUAUUACUAGUCAUUCAAAAUUAAACCUUGUGGCUCUGACAGAGACGUGGAUCAAUACGGACGACACUGCUACUCCUGCAGCAAUCUCCAGUAAUUUACAAUUUUCCCACACUCCCCAUCUGACUGGAAGAGGUGGAGGUACUGGUCUGCUAAUGAUCUCUAAUGAUUGAUAAUGUAUUCCUUUACCUUCUCUGGGUAUUAACAGAUCAUUUGAGUCACAUUCAGUUACUAUUACACGCCCUUUUAAAAUCCAUUUUGUAGUUGUUUAUCAACACCGGCACCACAAGGUUACUUGUUGGAUGAAUUAGAUGUGCUGCUCUCAAGCAUUCCUGAGGAUGGUACUCCCCUAGUUUUGCUUGGAGACUUCAACUUCCACUUAUAUAAACAUGCUGCAGACUUCCACACUCUGCUUGCCUCUUUUGAUCCCAAGGGCGUGUUAAAAAUCAGGCAGCUCACAAAUCAGGCAACCAACUGGACCUUAUUUACACUCAACACUGAUCCACUGAUCAAUGCACACCUCAAGUCCCUGCAUCUCCACUGCACACCUUGGGUCCCUUCCUCCUCACUCUUAACCUCAACAUGGUUCCUGACACAACACAUACCCCUCCACUGGCUGCACAAUACCAGGGACCCCCACAACAUGCUAAAAUCCACAUCAGAACACCCCAUGCACCAACACUACACCACCCCAGAUCUACACCAGUCCAUCAGCAGAAACCCCAGUUUGCACCACAUCACCAUCCAAGACACCCACCACCACAAAAACAUCACUCCAGGCAGAAAAAAAAACUCUAGGAAGAGCCCAACAGCAGCAGCAGCAACCAGCCUUCCACCCGGUCAUGCAGCCUCAGCUGAUAACACACGGAACCCAGCACCACUCCCACACUCCAGUAGCUACGGUCAGGCCCUGAAAGGACAAGCAAAUACACUGGAGAUGAGUGAGAUCAGAGAGCUGCUGAACUACAUCAGUGCCCAGCUGACAGAAUGAGAGUCCACACAGCAUGCAAACACCUGCCUAACAAUGACAAAAAAACAUAUACUAUAUUACAU
rnacentral:lncRNA from 1 species